rnacentral:rRNA from 1 species
GACAGAGGGUGCAAACGUUGUUCGGAAUUACUGGGCGUAAAGCGAGUGUAGGCGGUUCGAUAAGUCGGAUGUGAAAGCCCGGGCUCAACCCGGGAAGUGCACUCGAUACUGUCGAGCUAGAGUAUCGGAGAGGUGGUGGAAUUCUCGGUGUAGAGGUGAAAUUCGUAGAUAUCGAGAGGAACACCGGUGGCGAAGGCGGCCAACUGGACGAAUACUGACGCUGAGACUCGAAAGCGUGGGGAGCAAACAGG